rnacentral:rRNA from 1 species
UUUGAGAGAGAGUUCAAGAGUACGUGAAACUGCUCAGGGGCAAACGGGUGGGCCCUCGAAGUCCUCGCAGGAGGGGGAUUCAGUCGCCCGGUGCGGGGGGGCGCUUCCGUCGGGGAUCUCUGGGUGAGACCCUGCGGUCGCGCCGUUUCCGGGCCGGGAGACGCACUUCCCCCUCCCAACAUUGGACGCCGCAGCCUCUCGGGUUUCGGUGGCGAGGAUCAGCGAAAAGGCAGGUGGCGUGGGCGGAUCUCCGAUCCGCCCCGUGUCUGGCCUAGCGGUCUGGGCGCGAUACCCGAGAGAGGGAAGAUACCAACUUUGGUCGUUGCCGAUGCCUGCGCUUCUCGAAAGCUGCAGCGGCGACGGACUCGGGGAACGCCGGGGUGUUCCGCGCGCUUCACCGUGCGGUGUCGCCGGACUCCCGGUACCCGGCGAGACGUCCGAUCAGUGCCGCGGUGCUUGGCAGACGGCUUGCGGCGAGUAGGUCGGUAACCCACCCGUCCCGUCUUGAAACACGGACCAAGGAGUCUAACAUGUGCGCGAGUCAGUGGGACUCGAAAAAGCCCACGGGCGAAGAGAAAUCUAAAAAGGCGGGAUCCGUAUAAAUUCUGAAACACGGAGCGGCGCACCGUCAGCCCGACGUCGUUCCUCCCGAAAGGGGGGCGGCUCGGAGCGAGAGCGCACACGUUGGGACCCGAAAGAUGGUGAACUAUGCCCGGGCAGGUCGAAGCCAGAGGAAACUCUGGUGGAGGACCGCAGCGGUCUGACG